UACGUAGGGUGCGAGCGUUAAUCGGAAUUACUGGGCGUAAAGCGUGCGCAGGCGGUUCGUCGUGUCCGAUGUGAAAGCCCCGGGCUCAACCUGGGAAUGGCAUUGGAAACUGGCGGGCUUGAGUGUGGCAGAGGGGGGUGGAAUUCCGCGUGUAGCAGUGAAAUGCGUAGAUAUCUGGAGGAACACCGGUGGCGAAGGCGGCAUCCUGGACCGGCAUUGACGCUGAGGCGCGAAAGCCAGGGGAGCAAAGCGGG
rnacentral:rRNA from 1 species